rnacentral:misc_RNA from 1 species
GAUGAAGAACGUAGUGAAAUGCGAUACGUAAUGUGAAUUGCAGAAUUCAGUGAAUCAUCGAAUCUUUGAACGCAUAUUGCGCUCUCUGGUAUUCCGGAGAGCAUGCUUGUUUGAGUAUCAGUAAACACCUCAACUUCCAUAUCUUUUUUUGAAAUGGGAGUUGGACUUGAGUGAUCCCAACGCUUUUCCUCACCGAAAAGUGGCGGGUUACUUGAAAUGCAGGUGCAGCUGGACUUUUCUCUGAGCUAUAAGCAUAUCUAUUUAGUCUGCCUAAAAAACAGAUUAUUACCUUUGCUGCAGCUAACAUAAAGGAGAUUAGUUCUUGUGCUGACUGAUGCAGGAUUCACAAAGACAGCUUCGGCCGACUUUGUAAACUCGAUCUCAAAUCAAGUAAGACUACCCGCUGAACUUAAGCAUAUCAAUAAGGGAGGA